GACGAACGCUGGCGGCGUGCUUAACACAUGCAAGUCGAACGGAAAGGCCCUGCUUUUGUGGGGUGCUCGAGUGGCGAACGGGUGAGUAACACGUGAGUAACCUGCCCUUGACUGUGGGAUAACUUCAGGAAACUGGGGCUAAUACCGGAUAGGAGCUCCUGCUGCAUGGGGGGGGUUGGAAAGUUUCGGCGGUUGGGGAUGGACUAGCGGCUUAUCAGCUUGUUGGUGGGGUAGUGGCUUUCCAAGGCUUUGACGGGUAGCCGGCCUUGGAGGGUUACCGGCCACCUUGCGCCUGCGGUACGGCCCAGAAUCCUACGGUAGGCAGCAGUGGGGAACAUUGCACAAUGGGCGGACGCCUGAUGCAGAAACGCCGCGUGCGGGAUGCCGGCCUUCGGGUUGUAAACCGCUUUCGCCUGUGACGAAGCGUGAGUGACGGUAAUGGGUAAAGAAGCACCGGCUAACUACGUG
rnacentral:rRNA from 1 species